rnacentral:rRNA from 1 species
UCGAACGAACUCUGGUAUUGAUUGGUGCUUGCAUCAUGAUUUACAUUUGAGUGAGUGGCGAACUGGUGAGUAACACGUGGGAAACCUGCCCAGAAGCGGGGGAUAACACCUGGAAACAGAUGCUAAUACCGCAUAACAACUUGGACCGCAUGGUCCGAGCUUGAAAGAUGGCUUCGGCUAUCACUUUUGGAUGGUCCCGCGGCGUAUUAGCUAGAUGGUGGGGUAACGGCUCACCAUGGCAAUGAUACGUAGCCGACCUGAGAGGGUAAUCGGCCACAUUGGGACUGAGACACGGCCCAAACUCCUACGGGAGGCAGCAGUAGGGAAUCUUCCACAAUGGACGAAAGUCUGAUGGAGCAACGCCGCGUGAGUGAAGAAGGGUUUCGGCUCGUAAAACUCUGUUGUUAAAGAAGAACAUAUCUGAGAGUAACUGUUCAGGUAUUGACGGUAUUUAACCAGAAAGCCACGGCUAACUACGUGCCAGCAGCCGCGGUAAUACGUAGGUGGCAAGCGUUGUCCGGAUUUAUUGGGCGUAAAGCGAGCGCAGGCGGUUUUUUAAGUCUGAUGUGAAAGCCUUCGGCUCAACCGAAGAAGUGCAUCGGAAACUGGGAAACUUGAGUGCAGAAGAGGACAGUGGAACUCCAUGUGUAGCGGUGAAAUGCGUAGAUAUAUGGAAGAACACCAGUGGCGAAGGCGGCUGUCUGGUCUGUAACUGACGCUGAGGCUCGAAAGUAUGGGUAGCAAACAGGAUUAGAUACCCUGGUAGUCCAUACCGUAAACGAUGAAUGCUAAGUGUUGGAGGGUUUCCGCCCUUCAGUGCUGCAGCUAACGCAUUAAGCAUUCCGCCUGGGGAGUACGGCCGCAAGGCUGAAACUCAAAGGAAUUGACGGGGGCCCGCACAAGCGGUGGAGCAUGUGGUUUAAUUCGAAGCUACGCGAAGAACCUUACCAGGUCUUGACAUACUAUGCAAAUCUAAGAGAUUAGACGUUCCCUUCGGGGACAUGGAUACAGGUGGUGCAUGGUUGUCGUCAGCUCGUGUCGUGAGAUGUUGGGUUAAGUCCCGCAACGAGCGCAACCCUUAUUAUCAGUUGCCAGCAUUAAGUUGGGCACUCUGGUGAGACUGCCGGUGACAAACCGGAGGAAGGUGGGGAUGACGUCAAAUCAUCAUGCCCCUUAUGACCUGGGCUACACACGUGCUACAAUGGAUGGUACAACGAGUUGCGAACUCGCGAGAGUAAGCUAAUCUCUUAAAGCCAUUCUCAGUUCGGAUUGUAGGCUGCAACUCGCCUACAUGAAGUCGGAAUCGCUAGUAAUCGCGGAUCAGCAUGCCGCGGUGAAUACGUUCCCGGGCCUUGUACACACCGCCCGUCACACCAUGAGAGUUUGUAACACCCAAAGUCGGUGGGGUAACCUUUUAGGAACCAGCCGCCUAAGGUGGGACAGAUGAUUAGGGUGAAGUCGUAACAAGGUAGCCGUAGGAGAACCUGCGGCUGGAUCCCUCCCCUUUCUAAACUGGGGCCCCCCCCAUAUAGUUUGAACCUGGGUCAGGCUAGAAUAAAAUACUCCUAACUUCACCACUCACGCUAAUGAAAAUCAGACG